GGGAUGCCGGCGAGUGGCGAACGGGUGAGUAAUGCAUCGGAACGUGCCCAGUCGUGGGGGAUAACGCAGCGAAAGCUGUGCUAAUACCGCAUACGAUCUAUGGAUGAAAGCGGGGGACCGUAAGGCCUCGCGCGAUUGGAGCGGCCGAUGUCAGAUUAGGUAGUUGGUGGGGUAAAGGCCUACCAAGGCGACGAUCCAUAGCUGGUCUGAGAGGAUGAUCAGCCACAUUGGGACUGAGACACGGCCCAAACUCCUACGGGAGGCAGCAGUGGGGAAUAUUGGACAAUGGGCGCAAGCCUGAUCCAGCCAUGCCGCGUGAGUGAUGAAGGUCUUAGGAUUGUAAAGCUCUUUCACCGGAGAAGAUAAUGAUGGUAUCCGGAGAAGAAGCCCCGGCUA
rnacentral:rRNA from 1 species